GAGGCUUAGCUCAGUUGGUUAGAGCACUUGCCUUACAAGCAAGGGGUCAUCGGUUCGAGUCCGCUAGCUUC
rnacentral:tRNA from 1 species